rnacentral:rRNA from 1 species
CACCGCGGUUAUACGAGAGGCCCAAGUUGACAGACACCGGCGUAAAGGGUGGUUACGGAUUAACCCCCACUAAAGUCAAACGCCCCCCAUACUGUUAUACGCAUUUCGGGGCAGGAGGCCCUACUACGAAAGUGACUUUAUUACUUUUCCCGAACCCACUACAGCUACGAAA